rnacentral:lncRNA from 1 species
GCCAUGAUGUUAUCCCCAUUAUGAAUGUUACUUCUCUUUGAAAAAGAAAGAACAAGAAAAAGAAAACCUCCUUGAGACAUAGAGACCUCCUGGAGGUAGAAGACCGGGAUCCCCAAGAUCUCCUGGCAAAAGAAAACCUCCUUGAGACAUAGAGACCUCCUGGAGGUAGAAAACCGGGAUCCCCAAGAUCUCCCGGAAUUACAAGACCAGGAUCCCCAAGAUCUCCUGGCAAAAGAAAACCUCCUUGAGACAUAGAGACCUCCUGGAGGUAGAAGACCGGGAUCCCCAAGAUCUCCCGGAAUUACAAGACCAGGAUCUCCAAGAUCUCCUGGCAAAAGAAAACCUCCUUGAGACAUAGAGACCUCCUGGAGGUAGAAGACCGGGAUCCCCAAGAUCUCCCGGAAUUACAAAAUAAAGGAUAGCCGGCGAGGCCCCAAGGUCACCCCGGCACAACCAGGAUUUCGUAAGACCCCGGCACAGCCAGGAUCUCGUAAGACCUCUGGAAAGUAAAAAUAGUUGGUGAGGGACUUAAGGGCCUCCCAAAAAUGAAAAUUUCCCACAACUUUAUGCAGGGAUAACUUACAAAGCUAUAUUUCCGACCUCACAAACACAGAGAGGUCCGGAGUUCCCAAGAAAAAUUAAGGCUCCGACUUACUAAAGAGACGUAAAAGCUAAAGAAGUGC